AAUCACUGGGGUGAAGUCGUAACAAGGUAGCCGUAGGGGAACCUGCGGCUGGAUCACCUCCUUAAUCGA
rnacentral:rRNA from 1 species